GGUCGUAGAACAAAAUCUCUGUUUGGCAGAAUUCAUAAUGUCAGAUUCAACAGAUAACUGGGCAGGUGUUUGGAUUCCAAAUCUUUCAAUCCAUAUAUCAAAAGAAAGAUCUAUGAGUCUAGUUUCCAAUGAAUAAGCUUUGAAUAAAUCAACGUUUGCAACAGGGACUUAUAAGCCGUUCAGUAUCAAAAGGUCAGAAAUUACGAUCCCUGUUUUGCAAAAUCAGUAGGCUCAUUUGAAACAGAAGUUUGGGCAGACAAACUUACUCUGAAUUCUUAAUAUAAGCUUUCAAAACAAAGGUUUAUGAGUCUAUAUUCUGAUCAAAUAAGUUUUGUCCAAAUCAGAGGUCAAUACAUGAUGUUAUAAUCAUAACAAGGACGAAAGGUUAGAAUCUCAAAAGUUGCACAGAUUCGGAUCGAUAUGUCCAAACAAGAGAUAUAUCAAAUGCAAGGCUAGAACAAUUCAAGUUCCACAUAUCCAAAUCAAAUAUAGAGAUCAAAUUACAGUAAGGAAAGAUCAGGAUACUUGCAAUAGGAAAGAUUAGAACAAUUACAGGAGGAACGAAUCGGGAAACUUGCAAUAAGAAAUAUCAGAGCACUUAUACGAGAAACGAUCAGGGAACUUGCAAUAAGAAAAGAUCAGGGAACUUGCAAUAAGGGAACUUGCAAUAAGAAAUAUCAGAGCAAUUAUAGGAGAAACGAUCAGGGAACUUGCAAUAAGACAUAUCAGAGCAAUUAUAGGAGAAACGAUCAGGGAACUUGCAAUAAGAAAUAUCAGAGCAAUUAUAGGAGAAAUGAUCAAGGAACUUGCAAUAAGAAAUAUCAGAGCAAUUAUAGGAUAAACGAUCAGGGAACUUGCCUUUCAAGGAUUUCGAUCCGAAGAUUCAAAGAAGGUGUCAGUCCAAUCCUUCUACUUUUCCUCCGUGUCCUCUCUCUGUUUCGUUUUGUGCUCCCGUUUUCUUCCUUUCUUCGCAACUACACCACGUGUCGAACAUCGAGGCACAGUCACCUGCUCUCUCUUACUCUCAUUCCUUCUUUUUCUUUCCCAAACGCAGCUGCCACAACCGCCGCCGCCGCCGCUGCCGCUGCCACAAUCCCGUCAGCAGCCCCUUUUUCCCCCUUUCCUUUCUUUUCUUUCCCAGCUGCAACUGCCGCAGUUGCAGUCGCAACCAUGGCCGCAGCCACCACAGCCGCAGCCUCUUCUUUCUCCCCUGCUCUAUUUCCUCUCCUUCUCUUCCAGCUGCAGCUGCCACUGCCACAGCUGCCUCUCCUUCUCCUCUUCCUCUCUUCUUCCCUUUUCCUUUCUCUUCUUCUU
rnacentral:lncRNA from 1 species